AGUGAACGCUGGCGGCAGGCCUAAUACAUGCAAGUCGAACGAGUGGCGGACGGGUGAGUAAUGUCUGGCAAAUCGCCCGAUUGAGGGGGAUAACUAGUGGAAACGGUCGCUAAUACCGCAUACCAACGGAUGUGACCAGAUGGUAUUAGCUUGUAGGUGAGGUAACGGCUCACCUAGGCGACGAGCCAUAGCUGGUCUGAGAGGAUGACCAGCAACCCGUGAACGAGGAUGAGGUCCAGACUCGUACGGGAGGCACCGGUGGGGCUUAUUGCACAAGGAGCGGUAGCGUGAUGCAGCCAAGCCGCGUGUAUGAGGAAUGCCUUCGGGGUGUAAAGUACGUUCCGCGUGGAGGCGUUACCCGCAGAAGAAGCACCGGCUAACUCCGUGCCAGCAGCCGCGGUAAUAC
rnacentral:rRNA from 1 species